CAAUGUUGAACCAAAAUUAAAAUUUACCACAAAUACUACUAAUAUUGAUCAAAAACAGAAAUUAGCAAUAAUGGUCCAAAUCCACCACAUAUACAGUCCUAUUUUUAGCAAUCCGAGUAAAAAAAAUUUCAUUUUAUUUGAAUUCUUUAUGAGAAUCCUAAUUUUUAAUUGCUAAAAGUUCUUUAUUCUUUCAAAAAUAAAAUUGUAUUGAGCACAUUUUUUUAACCUCUAUGUAGAAUUUUGUACCCAUAUCAUUACGGAAGAGCAACGAAGAUGAGCUUUCAUCAACAAUGUAUUGGGUUUCAAUUUUCUUUCUUGUUUCCUUGAUUUCAAGUUCUGAAGCAUCCUUACUUUGAAUAAUUUUGAACCCUUUCGACAUGAAGCCUUAAAAGUCCAACUACAAUCACCUAAGUAUUUUAGGACAUAGCUGCAAAAAAAAACAACAACAAAAUUUAAAAAAAACAAACUAAAUACUAAAAAUAUUAUCAGAUAUAUUUUUAAAUAUUUUAUAAACUAUUCAAUUUAAUAAAUAAAAUAAAUAACAAAUUAUGUGCAAUGCAUACACUAGAUUAUGUAUCUUUAUGCUAUAGUUAAUGAAUUAUGUAUCUCGAUCAAAUAUGUUAAAAAAACACCAAAUACAUAAAAUGUAUCUCUUUAUACAUAAAAUGUAUCUCUUGUUAUAGAUACAUGUAUCUUUCAUAAUAAUAUGUAUCUCUUAAUUGCCAGAGUACACAUAAGGUAACGAUGCCCUAACUUGUAAAAGAAAUAAAUAUUUAUUUACUGAAACUUGUUAUAUAUCUCUUAUUAACACAUGUAUGCAUAUCUACUAUCAUAACUAUGUAUAUUUGUAUAUUAUAACUUAGAUAUAUCUCACAUAAUUCAAAAACAUAAAACUGAUGCAAAAAGAGGCAACAUAAUCUUGAUCAAAUAUAUAUAUUUUUAAAAAAUUUUCAGAUAUAUAAAAUAAAUUAUGCAUAUCAACAUGCUCUUGCAAAAAAAAAAUGUUUCUAUACAACAUCUAAUAAUAAAAUAUGUAUCUCAGCAAAUCUGAAUUAUUCAAUUUUUCAUUAGUUUGUCUAGCUUUAAUCUCAUGCAAUGCAAUCUAUAUAUUUCAGAUAUUUUGAGCUGACAUGUACUUUAUUUUUCUAUUGUUUCUUCCAUUCAGACUUUUGAUCAUUGUUUGAUUUGUUGUACUUGGAUUUUUCUUGACAUAGAGAGUGAAGCAUCCCAACAAUGACGCAAUUUGGUUGUAGGGGAUGUCUGUCGUUUGUGAAAUAUGAUUUGCUUUCUCUUAGAUUCUUGAUCAAUUGCCCAAGCUUUGCCCUAUCAAUCAUGCUAUUGAUCUUGGUAUCUUGAAAGACAAAUUUGAAACACCUAGCCUAGGCAAUCCUACUGGAGAUCUGAUCUCCAUGGUGUUGAAGAAAAAAAUAAAAAGAAGAAGAAUGAAUCUUCA
rnacentral:lncRNA from 1 species